rnacentral:lncRNA from 1 species
GGAAUUGGUAAAGGAUAUUCACUGCUUGGCUAACUUGAAGUUCUCCUAUUAGACUCUAAGGAUGGUAGUGUGGUGGUGCAAGAAGUGGUUAGAUCAUCUCUUGGUGCGGAGAUUAAGGAGAAGUAAGUGAAUGAUCCUAUCUUGAUAAAAAUCAAGAGUGACGUUGAUGGAUAAAAGGUAAUGGUGUUUGAGAUUAGUGGUGAUAGUAUUUUAUGGUACUAAGGGAGGUUGUGUGUUCCUAAUUUGGCUAAGGCGUAUGAGUCGCACUAUAUUUUAUAUCCCGGCUCGACUAAGAUGUAUCAUGAUCUCAAGGAGAUCUAUUGGUGGAA